rnacentral:rRNA from 1 species
GGAGGGGGGCUAGCGUUGUUCGGAAUUACUGGGCGUAAAGCGCGCGUAGGCGGGCUUGCCAAGUUGGGGGGUGAAAUCCCGGGGCUCAACCCGGAACUGCCCUCAAAACUGGCUCGCUAGAGUCCGGGAGAGGUGAGUGGAAUUCCCAGUGUAGAGGUGAAAUUCGUAGAUAUUGGGAAGAACACCAGUGGCGAAGGCGGCUCACUGGACCGGUACUGACGCUGAGGCGCGAAAGCGUGGGGAGCAAACAGGAUUAGAUACCCUGGUAGUCCACGCCGUAAACGAUGAGUGCUAGAUGUCGGGGGGCUUGCCCUUCGGUGCCGCAGCUAACGCGUUAAGCACUCCGCCUGGGGAGUACGGCCGCAAGGUUA